GAAGGUAUAGCUCAGUGGUAGAGUGCCUGCUUAGCAUGCAUGAGGUCCUGGGUUCAAUCCCCAGUAUCUCCA
rnacentral:tRNA from 1 species